CCUACGGGGCGCUCCAGGCGAGAAAACUUUGCAAUGUGCGAAAGCACGACAAGGUUAAUCCGAGUGGUUUCUGCUAAAGAAACCUUUUGUUAGUCCUAGAAACACUGAUGAAUAAGGGGUGGGCAAGUUCUGGUGUCAGCCGCCGCGGUAAAACCAGCACCUCAAGUGGUCAGGAUGAUUAUUGGGCCUAAAGCAUCCGUAGCCGGCUAUGUAAGUUUUCGGUUAAAUCUGUGCGCUUAACGUACAGGCUGCCGGGAAUACUGCAUAGCUAGGAAGUGGGAGAGGUAGACGGUACUCGGUAGGAAGGGGUAAAAUCCUUUGAUCUAUUGAUGACUACCUGUGGCGAAGGCGGUCUACCAGAACACGUUCGACGGUGAGGGAUGAAAGCUGGGGGAGCAAACCGGAUUAGAUACCCUAGUAGUC
rnacentral:rRNA from 1 species